rnacentral:rRNA from 1 species
UUCGGAUUGUAGUCUGCAACCUGACUACAUGAAGCUGGAAUCGCUAGUAAUCGCGGAUCAGAAUGCCGCGGUGAAUACGUUCCCGGGUCUUGUACACACCGCCCGUCACACCAUGGGAGUCGGAAAUGCCCGAAGUCUGUGACCUAACCGAGAGGGAGGAGCAGCCGAAGGCAGGUCUGAUGACUGGGGUGAAGUCGUAACAAGGUAUC